rnacentral:ncRNA from 16 species
UUUGUCCCCGCAAAUUAUGGUGUAACGUCUUCUAUUCGGAAGAUGUUAGUAAAAGGGAAUCCGGUGAGAGACCGGAGCUGUACCCGUAGCUGUAAGUUCUGUAAACCCCGGCACAUCUUGUUGCCACUGAAGCCCGUCUGCGGGCUUUGGGAAGGCGGUCGAUAAAGGGAGAACGAGCCAGAAAACCUGCCAUAGUCGAAAUUAUGUGA